GUCGUAACCGUUGUGCACGUCGCCUCUUAGAUCGAUUCCUCCGAGGCGGUUUCCUAAACCGAAGGUCGUGGGUUCGAAUCCCGCCGGGGACGCCA
rnacentral:tRNA from 1 species